rnacentral:rRNA from 1 species
GACAGAGGUGGCAAGCGUUGUUCGGAUUCAUUGGGUGUAAAGGGUCCGUAGGUGGCCCGGUAAGUCCGGCGUGAAAUCCCAGAGCUCAACUCUGGAACUGCGUUGGAAACUACCGGGCUUGAGUGCCGGAGAGGUGAAGGGAAUUCCAGGUGUAAGGGUGAAAUCUGUAGAUAUCUGGAGGAACACCAGUGGCGAAGGCGCUUCACUGGCCGGUUACUGACGCUGAGGGACGAAAGCAAGGGGAGCAAAC